GACGAACGCUGGCGGCGUGCUUAACACAUGCAAGUCGAGCGGAAAGGCCACUUCGGUGGUACUCGAGCGGCGAACGGGUGAGUAACACGUGAGCAAUCUGCCCUUGGCUUUGGGAUAGCCACCGGAAACGGUGAUUAAUACCGGAUACGACCACUCCUCGCAUGGGAUGGUGGUGGAAAGUUUUUCGGCCAGGGAUGUGCUCGCGGCCUAUCAGCUUGAUGGUGAGGUAAUGGCUCACCAUGGCUUCGACGGGUAGCCGGCCUGAGAGGGUGACCGGUCACACUGGGACUGAGACACGGCCCAGACUCCUACGGGAGGCAGCAGUGGGGAAUAUUGGACAAUGGGCGGAAGCCUGAUCCAGCAACGCCGCGUGAGGGAUGACGGCCUUCGGGUUGUAAACCUCUUUCGGUGGGGACGAAGCGCAAGUGACGGUACCCACUAAAGAAGCACCGGCCAACUACGUGCCAGCAGCCGCCGUAAGAC
rnacentral:rRNA from 1 species